rnacentral:sRNA from 1 species
CACAGAGGUGCAGAGAGGUGACAUAACUUCCCCAACAUCACCUGGCUAGUAAGCAUCAUGGGAGGGGCAGAGCCACAUGCCCCAAGCUUAAGAGGAGACUGUGGGCCCAUCCCAGCCACAAGUCCCAGAAUCCACUGGGGACCGUCAUCCUCUGUGGGGAUUGGGAGGGUUUGGGCAGGAGCACCCCUGGGAAGGGCAGAUUUUAGGGGGUUCUUCUCAGGCUGAACAUGGCCUGGUCUGGUCCACAGGAUCUGUAAUGGUGAAGUCCCCCAUGAACCGGGAGCUGGUUGCCACCUAUGAAGUCACUCUCUCAGUGAUUGACAAUGCCAGCGACCUACCAGAGCGCUCUGUCAGUGUGCCAAAUGCCAAGCUGACUGUCAACAUCCUGGACGUCAAUGACAAUACGCCCCAGUUCAAGCCCUUUGGGAUCACCUACUACAUGGAGCGGAUCCUGGAGGGGGCCACUCCUGGGACCACGCUUAUUGCUGUGGCAGCCGUGGACCCUGACAAGGGCCUUAAUGGGCUGGUCACCUACGCCCUGCUGGACCUGGUGCCCCCAGGCUAUGUCCAGCUGGAGGACUCCUCAGCAGGGAAGGUCAUUGCCAACCGGACAGUGGACUACGAGGAGGUGCACUGGCUCAACUUUACUGUGAGGGCCUCAGACAAUGGGUCCCCGCCCCGGGCAGCUGAAAUCCCUGUCUACCUGGAGAUCGUGGACAUCAAUGACAACAACCCCAUCUUUGACCAGCCCUCCUAUCAGGAGGCUGUCUUUGAGGAUGCGCCUAUGGGCACAAUCAUCCUGACAGUCACUGCCACUGAUGCUGACUCAGGCAACUUUGCACUCAUUGAGUACAGCCUUGGAGAUGGAGAGAGCAAGUUUGCCAUCAACCCCACCACGGGUGACAUCUAUGUGCUGUCUUCUCUGGACCGGGAGAAGAAGGACCACUAUAUCCUGACUGCCUUGGCCAAAGACAACCCUGGGGAUGUAGCCAGCAACCGUCGUGAAAAUUCAGUGCAGGUGGUGAUCCAAGUGCUGGAUGUCAAUGACUGCCGGCCACAGUUCUCCAAGCCCCAGUUCAGCACAAGCGUGUAUGAGAAUGAGCCGGCGGGCACCUCGGUCAUCACCAUGAUGGCCACUGACCAGGAUGAAGGUCCCAAUGGAGAGUUGAUCUACUCACUUGAGGGCCCUGGCGUGGAGGCCUUCCAUGUGGACAUGGACUCGGGCCUGGUGACCACACAGCGGCCACUGCAGUCCUACGAGAGGUUCAAUCUGACCGUGGUGGCCACAGAUGGCGGAGAGCCCCCACUCUGGGGCACCACCAUGCUCCUGGUGGAGGUCAUCGACGUCAAUGACAACCGCCCUGUCUUUGUGCGCCCACCCAACGGCACCAUCCUCCACAUCAGAGAGGAGAUCCCGCUGCGCUCCAACGUGUACGAGGUCUACGCCACGGACAAGGAUGAGGGCCUCAACGGGGCGGUGCGCUACAGCUUCCUGAAGACAGCGGGCAACCGGGACUGGGAGUUCUUCACCAUCGACCCAGUCAGCGGCCUCAUCCAGACUGCUCAGCGCCUGGACCGCGAGAUGCAGGCGGUGUACAGUCUCAUCUUGGUGGCCAGCGACCUGGGCCAGCCGGUGCCAUACGAGACUAUGCAGCCGCUGCAGGUGGCCCUGGAGGACAUCGAUGACAACGAACCCCUCUUCGUGAGGCCUCCAAAAGGCAGCCCCCAGUACCAGCUGCUGACAGUGCCUGAGCACUCACCACGCGGCACCCUCGUGGGCAACGUGACAGGCGCAGUGGAUGCAGAUGAGGGCCCCAAUGCGAUCGUGUACUACUUCAUCGCAGCCGGCAACGAAGAGAAGAACUUCCAUCUGCAGCCUGACGGGCGUCUGCUGGUGCUGCGGGACCUGGACCGGGAGCGAGAAGCCAUCUUCUCCUUCAUCGUCAAGGCCUCCAGCAAUCGCAGCUGGACACCUCCCCGUGGACCCUCCCCAACCCUCGACCUGGUUGCUGACCUCACGCUGCAGGAGGUGCGCGUUGUGCUAGAAGACAUCAACGACCAGCCGCCACGCUUCACCAAGGCUGAGUACACUGCAGGUGCAGGGACUGGAGCCUGGGCACGAGGUGUGGGGUGGCCCCUGCCCUGCCACUUACACCACCUGCCUCUUCCUGCAGGGGUGGCCACCGAUGCCAAGGUGGGCUCAGAGUUGAUCCAGGUGCUGGCCCUGGAUGCAGACAUUGGCAACAACAGCCUUGUCUUCUACAGCAUUCUGGCCAUCCACUACUUCCGGGCCCUUGCCAACGACUCUGAAGAUGUGGGCCAGGUCUUCACCAUGGGGAGCGUGGACGGCAUUCUGCGCACCUUCGACCUCUUCGUGGCCUAUAGCCCCGGCUACUUCGUGGUGGACAUUGUGGCCCGCGACCUGGCAGGCCACAACGACACGGCCAUCAUCGGCAUCUACAUCCUGAGGGACGACCAGCGCGUCAAGAUCGUCAUUAACGAGAUCCCCGACCGUGUGCGCGGCUUCGAGGAGGAGUUCAUCCACCUGCUCUCCAACAUCACUGGGGCCAUUGUCAAUACUGACGAUGUGCAGUUCCAUGUGGACAAGAAGGGCCGGGUGAACUUUGCGCAGACAGAACUGCUCAUCCACGUAGUGAACCGCGAUACCAACCGCAUCCUGGACGUGGACCGGGUGAUCCAGAUGAUCGACGAGAACAAGGAGCAGCUGCGGAAUCUUUUCCGGAACUACAACGUCCUGGACGUGCAGCCUGCCAUCUCUGUCCGGCUGCCGGAUGACAUGUCUGCCCUGCAGGUACCCGGUGACCCUGCCUCACAGCCCUAGCCACCCUCCCCACUGCCCGGGCUCACCCUGGUCCUGCUCCCACAGAUGGCGAUCAUCGUCCUGGCUAUCCUCCUGUUCCUGGCCACCAUGCUCUUCGUCCUCAUGAACUGGUACUACAGGACUGUACACAAGAGGAAGCUCAAGGCCAUUGUGGCUGGCUCAGCUGGGAAUCGUGGCUUCAUCGACAUCAUGGACAUGCCUAACACCAAUAAGUACUCCUUUGAUGGAGCCAAUCCUGUGUGGCUGGAUCCCUUCUGUCGGAACCUGGAGCUGGCCGCCCAGGCGGAGCAUGAGGAUGACCUACCGGAGAACCUGAGUGAGAUCGCCGACCUGUGGAACAGCCCCACACGCACCCACGGAACUUUUGGGCGUGAGCCAGCAGCUGUCAAGCCUGAUGAUGACCGAUACCUGCGGGCUGCCAUCCAGGAGUACGACAACAUUGCCAAGCUGGGCCAGAUCAUUCGUGAGGGGCCAAUCAAGCUGAUCCAGACUGAGCUGGACGAGGAGCCAGGAGACCACAGCCCAGGGCAGGGUAGCCUGCGCUUCCGCCACAAGCCACCAGUGGAGCUCAAGGGGCCCGAUGGGAUCCAUGUGGUGCACGGCAGCACGGGCACACUGCUGGCCACCGACCUCAACAGCCUGCCCGAGGAUGACCAGAAGGGCCUGGGCCGCUCACUGGAGACACUGACCGCUGCCGAGGCCACUGCCUUCGAGCGCAACGCCCGCACAGAAUCCGCCAAAUCCACACCCCUGCACAAACUUCGCGACGUGAUCAUGGAGAGCCCCCUGGAGAUCACAGAGCUGUGACUAGACAGGGAAGCCUCGUGGGUGUGAGCAGCACCCGUCCACCGCCCCGUCCCAGGGAGCAAGGGCAGGGACAGGGCCAGUCGGGGGGUCCCCUCCAAGGCCAGGCCUGGGGGACAACCUUGGCUUAGCCCUGGUGGCCCGCAUCAGCUGCUCAGAUCCCACUUUUGCCAGACGCUCAUUCAGCAUCUGACCUCUACCUUCAUAAGAUCUGUUAUUUUUAUAAGAAAACCAAACAAAAAUGCUAAGCGUCUAAGGACAAGGUAAGGAGGGUCACUGGGGCCCACAAGUCUGGGGACCAGCUUGGCUCAGGCUGAGCUGAAAGAGGCCGAACAGGCCCUCCUCCCUCCCGGCUCCACCCCACAAGCACCAUCCCCUCCGGCUGAGCAGGCGCAAGGGAAGCCCAGAGCGGACAUCCCCUGCUGGCCGGACACCCGACUCCAGUCCAAGUCCCACUACAUUUCCGCCACAUCCCUGCUGGACGUCCAGGUGGAGGUGGCAUCCCCACAUGGACAAGAAAGUCAAUGUCAAUGAACAAGCAUUCUCUCCAUUUCACUGGCUUCCCAAAUGUGCCCAGCUUAUAAACAGAAGUGACUGACGUUCCCUUGGGUUUUG